rnacentral:tRNA from 1 species
AAGUCUUAUGUUGUGUAUAAUAAUAUCUACCAAACAAUUAUAAAAUAUAUUUUACACUAAUAACACAAUUAUGGCU